rnacentral:tRNA from 1 species
AUUUAUUUAGUAUAUUAGUAUAUUUGACUUCCAAUCAAAAGGACUGAAAAUUUUCAGAAUAAAUA